CUCUGCCCGUCCUCUUGUCUGGCUGGUUGGACGGUGGUGAAGGGACCAUCCUCCUCCAUCCAUUGCUCUCCGCUGUUGUUAUCUUCUUAAAUUUGCUUUAAUAUUCCUCGUAAGAUGUGUUGUCCUGGGAUCUUGGAUCUUCGCGUGGUCUUUGCUGCUGGUUACAGCAUUAGUUCCUCUCCACUGAGAAUUAAUAGAUGACUGAAGUGAUCAUGGAGAUUGUAAGUUAUUGGUGUGAUGAGAACAUAGUCUGCAGCUUUUGAAAACCAAAGAUAACUAAUGGUUAUUCGAAGCAGGGAAUGAGGUGACUGGAUAUUGGCGCAACACUUCAAUGGUAUGCCAUGAUUCCCAGAAUGGAGCAUGUUCGUACUUGCCAUUGACUAGAAGCACUGACUGGAUGUUGGCUGAAUUUCCAGAAUUAUUUUUGCUUUGCUAUUGAUAACUAUCUACUGAACAGUAAUGUACUAAUAAACAAUACAAACUGAAUUUGUUUGAGAUUCAAAAUCUGUUUUACUUCCAGAGCUAUGAAACAACCUUGCAUUGGUUCUGUGUUUCAGGGCAGGGUAGCAAGCUGUGAAGCUCCCAAAAGCCAAGACUAUAGCAGUAAUGCUGUCUGACCUGCCGAGUUCCUUCAGCUUUUUGUGUGUUGCAUGAUGAAUGAGUGGAUAUUGUUUACUUGGAUUUUCAGAAGGCUUUUGACAAGGUGCUGCACAUGGUAUUACAGGUAAAAGAUGCAGGAGCCUGAGGGCACAUACCACCAGGCUCAAG